rnacentral:misc_RNA from 1 species
GUGAGUCAUCGAAUCUUUGAAAAGAUAUAGCGCUCUUUGGUAUUUCAAAGAGUAUGUUUGUUCAACACCAGUCUUUACGAUCGGCGAAGGGUUGCUUGAAAUGCAGAUGCAGCUGGACAUUCUCCUAAGCUAAAAGCAUAUUUAUUUAGUCCCGUCAAACAGAUUAUUACUUCUGCUGCAUAUAAUGUAAUGGGAGUCUGGCCGUUUUGGCUGACUGAUGCAGGAUUUCACAAGGGUCGACAAUGAUGCUUGUAAAACUCAAUCUCAAAUCAAACAAGAUUACCCGCUGAACUUGAGCAU